rnacentral:rRNA from 1 species
AUUGAACGCUGGCGGCAUGCCUUACACAUGCAAGUCGAACGGUAACAGGUCUUCGGAUGCUGACGAGUGGCGAACGGGUGAGUAAUACAUCGGAACGCGCCCGAUCGUGGGGGAUAACGAAGCGAAAGCUUUGCUAAUACCGCAUAAGAUCUAAGGAUGAAAGCAGGGGACCGCAAGGCCUUGCGCGAACGGAGCGGCCGAUGGCAGAUUAGGUAGUUGGUGGGAUAAAAGCUUACCAAGCCGACGAUCUGUAGCUGGUCUGAGAGGACGACCAGCCAAACUGGGACUGAGACACGGCCCAGACUCCUACGGGAGGCAGCAGUGGGGAAUUUUGGACAAUGGGCGAAAGCCUGAUCCAGCCAUGCCGCGUGCAGGAUGAAGGCCUUCGGGUUGUAAACUGCUUUUGUACGGAACGAAAAGACUCUUUCUAAUAAAGAGGGUCCAUGACGGUACCGUAAGAAUAAGCACCGGCUAACUACGUGCCAGCCGCCGCCGUAACAC